rnacentral:rRNA from 1 species
UGCAAGUCGAACGAUUGCCUUCGGGUGAUAGUGGCGCACGGGUGCGUAACGCGUGGGAAUCUGCCCUUAGGUUCGGAAUAACAGCUGGAAACGGCUGCUAAUACCGGAUGAUAUCGCGAGAUCAAAGAUUUAUCGCCUGAGGAUGAGCCCGCGUUGGAUUAGGUAGUUGGUGGGGUAAAGGCCUACCAAGCCGACGAUCCAUAGCUGGUCUGAGAGGAUGAUCAGCCACACUGGGACUGAGACACGGCCCAGACUCCUACGGGAGGCAGCAGUGGGGAAUAUUGGACAAUGGGCGCAAGCCUGAUCCAGCAAUGCCGCGUGAGUGAUGAAGGCCCUAGGGUUGUAAAGCUCUUUUACCCGGGAAGAUAAUGACUGUACCGGGAGAAUAAGCCCCGGCUAACUCCGUGCCAGCAGCCGCGGUAAUACGGAGGGGGCUAGCGUUGUUCGGAAUUACUGGGCGUAAAGCGCACGUAGGCGGCUUUGUAAGUCAGAGGUGAAAGCCUGGAGCUCAACUCCAGAACUGCCUUUGAGACUGCAUCGCUUGAAUCCAGGAGAGGUCAGUGGAAUUCCGAGUGUAGAGGUGAAAUUCGUAGAUAUUCGGAAGAACACCAGUGGCGAAGGCGGCUGA